ACAUGCCUACAACACAUUGUUAAUGCAUCAGAUCCCAUUAUAACUCCAUAUUUAAGCGCGCUCAGGCUAGAGUAGUACUGGGAUGGGUGACAACCUAGGAAGUCCUAGUGUUUUACAUGCC
rnacentral:rRNA from 1 species